rnacentral:lncRNA from 1 species
CAAAACAUAUUGGAUAUCUUAUAAAUUAAAUUCAUUUAUCACUUAUAAUUUAAACAGUCUCAUAAUUUAGUUUUGGCGAAAGUUCACACCAGAAAGAAAAAUCCCAUGGAGGUAAAAAAAAUAAAAAUGGUUCUGCUGAAUGUUCCUGUGAAGAGCAAAUAAGUAGUCAGUCCUGCACGGCUUCUUCACGUUGUGUCCCCACACACAAGUCACACAACUGAGAACAUACUCCAUCUGUCUCAGUCAAUUGGAGGCGUUUCUUUUUCACUGCAUGCAUUUUAAGACUCCUAUAUAACAAGCUACCAGAUUCCCUAAUGAUUUUCUCCAUGACAUCGCAGUAGAAGUAAAUCCAACUAUUCCACCUACAAUCAAUAACAAAGAAUUAGACCACGAAAUCGACUAUGCACAGAGUACACACUCUCAAUCCAAGAUCAACAUAACCAUUUCACUAAGCUUAUUCUGACUUAUAAGUCAAAACUCCAGGAUCAAGAUAACUACUUAACUAAGCUUGUUAGUGUGUGUAAAGACAGAGCAAUGCUAGUACCCCAUGGGAGGAGUAUUGCCUGUUGGAAUAUUUGUUUAAUCUAAACUUGUGUUAAAAUAAAUUAUUGUUAGCAGGUGGUUUAGUUUGUAUGUAUUAGCAGGAGAGAUAUGAUAGGAGAGUCAUGGGUAGUUGAAGUAUUUUAGGAGUCCACUACGUUAGUUGCUAUUUUUGUGUUACCACCUUGUGCCUGUAGUUCUAUUUAAAUUGCAUGUAUCUUGUUUAGUUCAUUAUUAGAAGAAGAGAAUACAAUGUAGUCUUUAUGUAUCUUCUCCGUUUAUUCAUAUAAAACUACAAUCUCUAUAUCCUUAUUAUUAUUUUUAUCAAAUUUCAACAUGGUACCAGAGCUUGGGGGAGUAUCAAUGUGACGCCCCCAGAUCCGCAUUCCGCAGAUUUGGUCCAUCACUAUAN